UACGUAGGUGGCAAGCGUUGUCCGGAUUUAUUGGGCUUAAAGGGUGCGUAGGCGGUCAAAUAAGUCAGUUGUGAAAUACGGCAGCUCAACUGUCGAGGUGCAAUUGAUACUGUUUGACUUGAGUAUUGUUGAGGUAGGCGGAAUGGACGGUGUAGCGGUGAAAUGCUUAGAGAUCGUCCAGAACACCGAUAGCGAAGGCAGCUUACUAGGCUGUAACUGACGCUGAGGCACGAAAGUGUGGGGAGCAAACAGG
rnacentral:rRNA from 1 species